rnacentral:rRNA from 1 species
CGGGGAAUAUUGGACAAUGGGGGCAACCCUGAUCCAGCCAUGCCGCGUGAGUGAUGAAGGCCUUCGGGUUGUAAAGCUCUUUUGCAGGGGACGAUGAUGACGGUACCCUGAGAAUAAGCCCCGGCUAACUUCGUGCCAGCAGCCGCGGUAAUACGAAGGGGGCUAGCGUUGUUCGGAAUUACUGGGCGUAAAGGGCGCGUAGGUGGCUUGACAAGUUGGAUGUGAAAGCCCAGGGCUCAACCCUGGAAUUGCAUUCAAGACUGUUUUGCUUGAAUUCGGUAGAGGUUGGUGGAAUUCCCAGUGUAGAGGUGAAAUUCGUAGAGAUUGGGAAGAACACCCGUGGCGAAGGCGGCCAACUGGACCGACAUUGUCACUGAGGCGCGAAAGCGUGGGGAUCAAACAG